AUGUAUACCCCUCGCGUACCUAAUUCUAUGAGAGUUACGAAUCGCGUAUCCGAAUUCGUACUACGUACCGAAGCGAAUUGUGAACCAUGUGCCAAUGGAUUAGGCUUUGGUAAUGCUUACAAAACAUAUAUUAUUCUUAAAUUUUGCACCCUUCUUUCAAACUUAUAA